UACAGUGAAAAAUGACAAAAAAUCGUAGAAUAAGCGGUCCAUUCAAUAAACAAAUAUUUUUAUUGCAAUUUAAUAUAAUUUUUUCUUCUCAAAGUCAACAUUGCCAGCCUCUUAUUCUUUCAUUUUGCUUCAACUUUCUAUCUUUCAAGCUAUGAUAGGAGAGAACAAAAAUGGCUUAUGCUCAUCUUCUUUCUCUUACUCACGUUCUACAGCGUACCCUGAAAUAUGAUUGUUCAUAUCUUCUUCCUAGUGAGAAACAACAAAUCGAUUCCCUCCUCGAAAAAGUUGUUUACUUGCAAUAUUUUCUUGACAAUUUUCCACGAGAAAACAUUGAAUCAAUAGAAGGUUUGGAGAGAAAGAUUAGCGAUGCAGCAUGUCAAACUGAAGAUAUCAUUGAAUCUUGCAUUGCAGAUCGAGUUCUUGGAGAAUCUGCAAGUCAUAGUGGUGACUUCUUUACAACUUCAUUCCAUGAAAUAGCAAAACUGAUUGAAGAAGUUGAUUCCAUAAAGAUAAGGGCAGAAAAGAUCGAGGAUGAGAGUGGCAUACAGGAAGAUUUGGAGCGCAACACCUCAUUCCCAGUUGGUUCAUUAAGACCAGUUUCUAGGGAUCAUAGCACCAUGGUUGGUCUUGAUGAUUCCUUGGCAGAGAUCAAGGAUCGUCUAGUUAGAGAUUCAUCACAACUUGAAAUUGUCUCAAUUGUCGGCAUGGGUGGCAUCGGUAAGACUUCACUUGCUCACAAAAUUUACAUUGAUAAAUAUAUUGAGCAUCAUUUUCACAUUCGUGCUUGGCUCACUGUGUCUCAAGAUUAUAGUGUGCGAGAAAUCCUACUAGGCCUCUUAGAUUCCAUGAAAAUACAAACUGAUGGGAGGAGUGAAAAAAGAAUUGAUCAAUUGGGAGAACUUCUGUACAAGAAGCUAAAGGGUAGGCGGUAUCUUUUUGUAAUCGAUGAUGUGUGGGAUAUCGAGGCGUGGGAUAGUGUGAAAAGGUACUUUCCAGAAGACAAAACUGGAAGUCGAAUCCUUUUAACUACAAGGCUUGAGAAUGUGGCUAAUUAUAUUAACUCUGGUUCUCCUCUUCAUCAUGUGCGGUUUCUUAACGACGAAGAAAGUUGGAAGUUAUUUUGUCAGAAGGUGUUUGGAGAAGGUUUUUGCCCUCUUGAAUUGGAAGAAAUUGGCAAGAAUAUUGCCCAAAAUUGUCGAGGACUUCCACUUGCAGUUGUUGUGAUUGGGGGCCUCCUAUCAAAGGCCACUAAAACACCACACUACUGGAGAAAUAUUGCAAAAAAUUUAAGCUCAGAAAUAAAUUCAAAUGAUGAGCAAUGCUCUAAAAUACUUUCUUUAAGUUAUAAACAUUUGCCUCAUCAUUUGAAAGGGUGUUUCCUAUAUAUGGGAAUUUUUCCAGAAGAUUUUGAAAUCAAAGUCAGGGAGCUUACCAAGUUGUGGGUUGCAGAGGGAAUCCUCAAAUCAGCAUGCUCUAAAACGCUCGAAGAUGUAGGAGAGGAGUACUUUUUGGAUCUUGUUCAAAGAAGUCUUAUUUUGGCUCAAAAGAAGGGGUCCAAUGGAAAAAUUAAAACAUGUAGAAUUCAUGACCUGUUAGGGGACAUUUGUGUCAGAGAAGCUCAAAAGGUGAAGUUUUUCCAUGUCGUUGAAGGGAGUCCUUGUGGUAUUCAAGUAGGCACUAGUAUGCGCCGUGUAAGUAUUCAUAAUAAGAAGAAUUUUCUAGCUUUUCAAUUUUACUAUGCGGCUAAAGGGACUCUCCAUCGUGAUGACAAAACACUAUCUUCUUUCCCUGUAAAAUUUCCUUUCCUUUCCAGGCCACUUAAAGUACUGCAGAUGAAGGGAACUCAUAUUUAUCCAGAUGAAAUGGGAGAGUUGGUUAACAUGCGGUACCUAUAUUGCUACAAUAUACACCCACAACUGUACAUUGCAUCAAUACAUAAACUUCGGAAUCUACAAACAAUAGUUUGUCGAUGGUAUUGUGGGAACGAUAUUGAACUACCACCAGAAAUAUGGAAGAUGACACAAUUAAGACAUGUGAAGUUGAAUGGCUUUGUACAUCUUCCCGAUCCUCCUAUUUCAGAAAUUAAGGAGGGGGGAUAUUCUAUUGUUGCUCUAGAAAAUCUACAAACCCUCUGGACGAUAUAUAAUUUUAUAUGGACAGUGGAGGUCCUCGAAAGAAUUCCAAAUCUACGGAAAUUGGCUAUCCGAUACGGUGGUAUGGUGGCCGGUUGGGAAGAAUACUGUAUGAAUAAUCUUGUCCGUCUAACUAAACUUGAAUCAUUAAAAUGUAGGCUUGCAGAUACGUUCCCCCAUUUCCUAGUGAGUAUCACUUUUCCGACGUCACUCAAAAAGUUGACUUUAGACGGCAUGGGAUUUCAUUUCAAAGAUUAUCUCAAACUUCAUCCCGAAGAAUUGACGAUUCUUGGUAAGUUGCCUAAUCUAGAAGUGCUGAAAUUGAAACACUGUGACUUCAAUGAACUAGAGUGGAAACCAAAUGAAGGAGAAUUUCCCGAAUUGAAAUUUCUACUGUUACACGACGUUAAUCUGAAGCACUGGAGAGCUGACCGAAUACACUACCCGGGACUCGAGCACCUAGUCAUUUCGAUUAUGGCUUGCAGAGAGCUGAAUGAGAUCCCUAGUGGUUUUGGGGAAAUCUCAACUCUUCAAUCCAUCGAGUUGAUUCAACUUGAGGAUUUUGAGGAAAUUUCAACCCUUGGUGAUUCAAUUGUUGAAUCAGCGAAGAAAAUAGAAGAGGAACAAUUGAGCUGGGGAAACGAUGCCUUCAAGUUAUAUAUUACGGGAUGGUAAAUGUGCAGAGUUUCAAAGUUGUCCAUUCCAAUCAUUUUCAGGUACCAUUUUCUUUUGUGAACCUUUCCAUUUUUCGAUUUUAGCUUUCUUGUCUUUCUCUACAUUCUUAGUUCCUUUCCUCUGAAUUUUGAUACAGUCUCCGGUUCAAGAUAUGAGAGCUCCGUUUAAACCAACUUCAAUGCAGGUCCUGCAUUAAGAGUGCAAGCAAUUAAGUUUCUCUAAAGUUUCCUGUAAUGUCCCCUGAAGGAGGUUUUGCCUGUUUUCUCUGUAGGAUCCAACACAGCCUUGUUAAUUCAUGUGGAAGGUAGUACGCAGAAAAAUUAUGUUUGGAUGUGAAUAUAAUUUUUAAAGAAUUUUAAUGUAAUUAAUGGAGACGGUUAGAUUUUUACAUAUUUAAGGGUUUAGAUUAUUUGUCUAAAAUGUUUGUCAAAUGUAUUUAUAGGUGUUAAAUAGCAUUUCUUUACUCUUGUGAGAAUUGUUUCCUUAUCACAAGUUCCAAUGUGUCCGUGAUAACAAUAAGAAUAAUUCUACUCCUACAAAGUUGGUGUACAAAAGUGGAGUGCUAAAGUGUGUUGACA
rnacentral:lncRNA from 1 species